CUUAUUUAUUUGUCAAUAUCAAAAGUUGAUCUGUCAAGAAUUAGAAUUUUGGAAAGCUUUCAUCAACAGCUAUGUGACUUAUACAAAUAUGAUAGAUGAACAUUGGGACCUAUGAGUUUGAAUGAGAUCCCCAAGCAGAUAGAAAAGAAGAGGGUUGUGAAAGCGUCCUAGAGGAUGGAGAGGGAAAAGAAAAAGCAGAAAGAGAUUAAAGAUGAGCAGUCAGGGAAGUAGAAGAAGAACCAAAAUAGAGUCAUGGAAGGCAAGAGAGGAAAGAAAUCAAUAACACCAAAGGCUGCAGAGAGCAACCACCAUUUGUCUACACAGAGGACUUGGCCAACAGAGCCUGAAAGGCAGUAAAUGCUGGGUUCUGUUUUUGAGAAAUGCUGAGACAUCUGGCUGGUAGGCCCAAAAGGGAUGUGAGACGGUGGCCUGUUGAAGAAGCAGGAGCAUGGGAGACCCAGCUUGCUCGUUGGUCUUUGUGGAUGAUAGCUCAGGCAAGAUCCAGAACUGAGAUCAGACUUCAGAUCUUCUUGUUUCCGGCCCAGGACUCGAUUCUUAUUGCGUUUCAGAGCUGUGUCUCUUGCUUCUAAUAUUUGAAACAGAUGUUGUGAAAUCUAUAAUUUCCAGCUUUGAAAUGAAUUAAUAUGUUAACCUCCUACUUCUCAGAUGCAUUCUGAAGAAAUAGUACUAAGUGUGACACAAGGUUAGAACAUCAAAAUAUGUAAUCCAACUAACCUGGACCUGCUUCUGCUCUAAGGUUCCUCCAGCAAGGGGUCACAAAUAUUAAUACAAUGUAACUCUGACUCCCAAAAGCCUUUGUGACUAAGUACUUAGGUUCUCACUGAAAACCUCUACUGAGUUCUCUUGAAAGGGUCCCAAGGAAAGGUUUCACAGGCGCUUCUCAAACCAUUGGUGCUGAAGGAGCAGGAUUUCGAAAUCUCCAAUCCAUCACGGACUGAUGCUUUUGUAAAAUGCAAUCAAAGUGGAUAAUUUGAAAAAAACUAAAUGAAUAUAUAAUACAAGUCCAAUAUUUAUGGCUAGAUACAACAAAUAUAAAAUUAAAUUUCAAUAAAUAUUAUCAGAACUAGUGUAACAUAGGAGAUUUUAAAACUGCAGAAACUAUACACUUUGAAAU
rnacentral:lncRNA from 1 species